UGUGUUUCUCACCUCAAUAAAAUUUAAAAAUCUAAGAUCAAUUUCAUUCACAGUUCUAUUUCUUUUUGAUGUAUGGGCUGUAUUCCGUUUGCCUCUUUGGUGAACGAAUGUUAAAAGAACUGUAAAAUGUAAUUUGUAAAUUGUAAAAGGUGAAGGAAAAUGAAAUUUAUAAAUAAUCCCUUCAUGAUCGUGAAAAGUAUUGUACAUUUUUCUUAACUUAAUAAAAUAGUUAAAACUUACUCAAUACGCUGUUUAUCUACCAUUUGCUCUGCAAUACAAACCUAUUAAUAUGUCAAUAUGUCCAAGGAAAUACUUUAUUAAAGACCUCAUAAACAAACCGACUCCCAUCGAUGUAUGGCUGCAAGGAACAAUCGAACAGACUGUAGGCCGCGAUAUUUUAAUAAUUUCCGAUACGUUUGGACGAGCAAAAAUCACGAAAUGUGAAACGGCUGACGGGGUUAUUGAUAAAAAUUCCAUAAAAAAAGGAACAUACUGCUGUAUAAUUGGGACAGCUGUCAAAACAAAAGGUGUACCUGAAGUUCAAGCUUAUAAAUUCAUUGAUUUGAGUUCACAACCUGAGAUGAAAAGUUCAUGGGAGAUCGAAGUGAAUGAAGCUAAUCUAUUUUUAGAAGGGAAGUUAAUACCUAACAUUGAGGAUUGUCAUAAAUUAUAACAAUAUGACCAUUGAUGAUUUAUGAUUGACCUCAAUAAAAAAAACAACACUAUCUGAUAGAAAA